UCCUCCCUCCCACCCACCCUCCUCUGGGAUUCUUGCAAGUAUCGUGCGUGCCCUUGUGAGUUUGGAGGGUGCCGGUCAACGAAGCCACGCGAGGUAUUUGAAAGGCAAUCAGCCCGACCGUCCCCCUAGAUUCAUCGAAGCUGGGACAUCUCCUUUGGCCGUGGCAACCAUGUGAUUCAUUUGGGAAUGAAGAUGAUGACCAUUAAGGAGCCACUUGGAUCCGAUGAAGGCAGUGGCCACUGAGAGGGAGAAGGAACUCGGUGAAUAUUGCCCUGGGUCCUGGUAAUUCCACCUACUGAAGACAGCUGCCCCUUCUGCUCAUAUUUCCUGAGUCAACAUGGCCACUCUUAACUUUAAAGAGACUUUAGACAUUCUUUGUUACAAUGAACCUAGAAGAAAGAAGAGAAAUAAUAACUGCCAUGGAAGGAUGCUCCUCCUGCCAAUUGGCACUUAUCAAUGACAUCGAGGGAGAGGGACAGAGUGCCUAGGUAUGAGCCUUCAUCAAGUGGUAUGAAGGCCCUACCCCAACAGAAAGUGCUCAUGUGAAGAAAUGAUGCUUUGGACAAGACUUUCCUCCAAGUUGGUCCUAUCCAGGGGUUGGCAAAUAGGGUCCCUGGACAUCAUCCUUGUUGCGUACUCUUAUGAAUAAAGUUCUAUAGGACACAGA